rnacentral:lncRNA from 1 species
CAAAGUAGAUUGAAUUUCCUCUCCUGAUUCUAGGUACAUAGCCGUUUAAACAGUUUCAUAAGGCUCUUAUUUUUGAAUUGGCUAUGAAAGUUUUCCCCAUAUGCCUCAUGCAUCACCUACUCUUCAAGUCCGGCCACUACACUGUCCUGCGAUGUUCCAUAUUGACAUUUAGUAGGUCUUUGAUUGCUUGUAAAAUGCCUUUGUGCUGAUCAUGAAUGAAACAAAUAUCCUCCACAUCCUUCACAAUCACCUGCUUAACUCUCUCCAGGAACCAAUACCAACUAUCUUCAGACUCUUCCUCCAC